CAAACCCUUAGACCCAGAUGCCAAGCCGAAAAACGCUUCCCAGGAUCACUCUGAUGAUCUCUAUGAGCAUCAUGAAGACACUGGAACCUUACCUCAGCACAUUCAGCAGGACUUCCUGAAAUCCCAGUUUGGACUCCAGCGUCUCCGUCAGCAGAUGUUGGCUGCUGACAACGUGUGCUCCAUCUCAGACAAUCCAGAGAGCAGUUUGGGACAGUGGAGUGGAUCCUGUGGAUUUGAUCAGUCAACCUUCUCAAAUCAGUGAAAUAGUUUACAUGAUGAAUGAGCAAUUAUUGUACAUAUUGCACCAAGUAUUUGGCAGUUUUUUUAACUUUUUUUUCCUGACAGAAUGACGCUGGCACAUAUAUUUGCAUGAUUCAUAUUUAUUAAUUAGUUACACUGGUGCCGUGUCAGUGUGGAUUAAAUAUCACCAAACACUGGAAGUGUGAAUUAAAAUAUUGAGCCCAGUUUUUACAGACUGCUGACAUGUAUACAGGUACAGGAACACAACAUGUACAGUAUGUUCCUCAUUCCUUAGCUUAGCUUAUUUUCAUACUGUUCUGAUUGGUUGAUAUUUUG
rnacentral:lncRNA from 1 species